UUGAACUCAGUGAGACUUACUUCUGAGCAAACAUAGUUAGGACUGUGCGGCAAAUCUUCAGUCCCGAUUGGACGAUGGCAUCAGAGCAAAACAGACUGAUCAAGCUGAACUUGGUUCAUUCACCCAUUGCUUCCUGACAACACUGGAGUCAAAGGGUGGUGCCUGGCCAGAGUGCCUGGGAUCUGACAAAGGAAUGCUCAUCUUUCUUAAUCACUGAGGAGGAAGACCAACUUAUGUUUCCUAAUGUGAGCUAACAAUGAUUAAAAGCUCUCUCUCUCUA